UACGGGGGGAGCAAGCGUUGUUCGGAUUUACUGGGCGUAAAGGGCACGUAGGCGGCGUAACAAGUCACUUGUGAAAUCUCCGGGCUUAACCCGGAGCGGCCAAGUGAUACUGUUGUGCUAGAGUGCGGAAGGGGCUACUGGAAUUCUCGGUGUAGCGGUGAAAUGCGUAGAUAUCGAGAGGAACACCAGUGGCGAAGGCGAGUCUCUAGACAACUCCUGACACUGAGGCACGAAAGCUAGGGGAGCAAACAGG
rnacentral:rRNA from 1 species